rnacentral:misc_RNA from 1 species
GAUGAAGAACGCAGCGAAAUGCGAUAAGUAAUGUGAAUUGCAGAAUUCAGUGAAUCAUCGAAUCUUUGAACGCACAUUGCGCCCGCCAGUAUUCUGGCGGGCAUGCCUGUCUGAGCGUCAUUUCAACCCUCAUGCCCCUAGGGCGUGGUGUUGGGGAUCGGCCAAAGCCCGCGAGGGACGGCCGGCCCCUAAAUCUAGUGGCGGACCCGUCGUGGCCUCCUCUGCGGAGUAGUGAUAUUCCGCAUCGGAGAGCGACGAGCCCCUGCCGUUAAACCCCCAACUUUCCAAGGUUGACCUCAGAUCAGGUAGGAAUACCCGCUGAACUUAAGCAUAUCAAUAAGCGGAGGA